rnacentral:piRNA from 1 species
UGCCUCAGCAGGGCUGUUGUUAUCU